AAAGAUUAAGCCAUGCAUGUCUAAGUAUAAGCAAUUAUACAGCGAAACUGCGAAUGGCUCAUUAUAUAAGUUAUCGUUUAUUUGAUAGUACCUUACUACUUGGAUAACCGUGGUAAUUCUAGAGCUAAUACAUGCUAAAAAUCCCGACUUCGGAAGGGAUGUAUUUAUUAGAUUAAAAACCAAUGCCCUCUGGGCUCCUUGGUGAUUCAUGAUAACUCUUCGAAUCGCACGGCCUUGCGCCGGCGAUGGUUCAUUCAAAUUUCUUCCCUAUCAACUUUCGAUGUUUGGGUAUUGGCCAAACAUGGUUGCAACGGGUAACGGAGGGUUAGGGCUCGACCCCGGAGAAGGAGCCUGAGAAACGGCUACUACAUCCAAGGAAGGCAGCAGGCGCGCAAAUUACCCAAUCCCGAUUCGGGGAGGUAGUGACAAUAAAUACUGAUACAGGGCUCUUUUGGGUCUUGUAAUUGGAAUGAGUACAAUUUAAAUCUCUUAACGAGGAACAAUUGGAGGGCAAGUCUGGUGCCAGCAGCCGCGGUAAUUCCAGCUCCAAUAGCGUAUAUUAAAGUUGUUGUGGUUAAAAAGCUCGUAGUUGAACCUUGGGCCUGGCUGGCCGGUCCGCCUCACCGCGUGCACUGGUCCGGCCGGGCCUUUCCCUCUGUGGAACCCCAUGCCCUUCACUGGGCGUGGCGGGGAAACAGGACGUUUACUUUGAAAAAAUUAGAGUGCUUCAGGCAGGCCUAUGCUCGAAUACAUUAGCAUGGAAUAAUGAAAUAGGACGCGUGGUUCUAUUUUGUUGGUUUCUAGGACCGCCGUAAUGAUUAAUAGGGACAGUCGGGGGCAUCAGUAUUCAAUUGUCAGAGGUGAAAUUCUUGGAUUUAUUGAAGACUAACUACUGCGAAAGCAUUUGCCAAGGAUGUUUUCAUUAAUCAGGAACGAAAGUUAGGGGAUCGAAGACGAUCAGAUACCGUCGUAGUCUUAACCAUAAACUAUGCCGACUAGGGAUCGGACGAUGUUAUUUUUUGACGCGUUCGGCACCUUACGAGAAAUCAAAGUGCUUGGGCUCCAGGGGGAG
rnacentral:rRNA from 1 species